rnacentral:rRNA from 1 species
CGCCCUUGAGUUUGAUCAUGGCUCAGAUUGAACGCUGGCGGCAUGCCUUACACAUGCAAGUCGAACGGCAGCAUAGGAGCUUGCUCCUGAUGGCGAGUGGCGAACGGGUGAGUAAUAUAUCGGAACGUACCCUAGAGUGGGGGAUAACUAGUCGAAAGAUUAGCUAAUACCGCAUACGAUCUACGGAUGAAAGUGGGGGAUCGCAAGACCUCAUGCUCAUGGAGCGGCCGAUAUCUGAUUAGCUAGUUGGUGGGGUAAAAGCUCACCAAGGCGACGAUCAGUAGCUGGUCUGAGAGGACGACCAGCCACACUGGAACUGAUACACGGUCCAGACUCCUACGGGAGGCAGCAGUGGGGAAUUUUGGACAAUGGGGGCAACCCUGAUCCAGCAAUGCUUUUUUUUGUGAAGAAGGCCUUCGGGUUGUAAAGCUCUUUUGUCAGGGAAGAAACGGUGAGGGCUAAUAUCCCUUGCUAAUGAC